rnacentral:rRNA from 1 species
AUACGUAGGUGGCGAGCGUUAUCCGGAAUUACUGGGCGUAAAGGGCACGCAGGCGGCCUAUCAAGUCUGACGUGAAAGCUCCUGGCUUAACUGGGAGAGGUCGUUGGAAACUGAGAGGCUUGAGGCGAUGAGAGGGGUGCGGAAUUCCCGGUGUAGUGGUGGAAUGCGUAGAUAUCGGGAGGAACACCAGUGGCGAAAGCGGCGCCCUAGCAUCGGCCUGACGCUCAUGUGCGAAAGCGUGGGGAGCGAACGGGAUUAGAUACCCCGGUAGUCCACGCUGUAAACGAUGAGCACUAGGUGUAGGCGGUGUCAAAGCUGUCGGUGCCGAAGCAAACGCGAUAAGUGCUCCGCCUGGGGAGUACGGCCGCAAGGCUAAA